UUUAGUUUGCUUGCAUAUUAAAGAUGGCGACCGGCGCACGGGUGAGUAACACGUAUCCAACCUGCCGAUAACUCGGGGAUAGCCUUUCGAAAGAAAGAUUAAUAUCCGAUAGUAUAUUAAAACCGCAUGGUUUUACUAUUAAAGAAUUUCGGUUAUCGAUGGGGAUGCGUUCCAUUAGUUUGUUGGCGGGGUAACGGCCCACCAAGACUACGAUGGAUAGGGGUUCUGAGAGGAAGGUCCCCCACAUUGGAACUGAGACACGGUCCAAACUCCUACGGGAGGCAGCAGUGAGGAAUAUUGGUCAAUGGACGAGAGUCUGAACCAGCCAAGUAGCGUGAAGGAUGACUGCCCUAUGGGUUGUAAACUUCUUUUAUACGGGAAUAACAUCAUCCACGUGUGGGUGUCUGCAUGUACCGUAUGAAUAAGCAUCGGCUAACUCCGUGCCAGCAGCCGCGGUAAUACGGAGGAUGCGAGCGUUAUCCGGAUUUAUUGGGUUUAAAGGGAGCGUAGGCGGGUUGUUAAGUCAGUUGUGAAAGUUUGCGGCUCAACCGUAAAAUUGCAGUUGAUACUGGCGACCUUGAGUGCAACAGAGGUAGGCGGAAUUCGUGGUGUAGCGGUGAAAUGCUUAGAUAUCACGAAGAACUCCGAUUGCGAAGGC
rnacentral:rRNA from 1 species